rnacentral:rRNA from 1 species
AGAGUUUGAUCCUGGCUCAGAUUGAACGCUGGCGGAAUGCUUUACACAUGCAAGUCGAACGGCAGCACGGGAGCUUGCUCCUGGUGGCGAGUGGCGAACGGGUGAGUAAUAUAUCGGAACAUAUCCUAUCGUGGGGGAUAACUAGUCGAAAGACUAGCUAAUACCGCAUACGUCCUGAGGGAGAAAGCGGGGGCUCGCAAGACCUCGCGCGAUUGGAGUGGCCGAUAUCUGAUUAGCUAGAUGGUGAGGUAAAGGCUCACCAUGGCUUCGAUCAGUAGCUGGUCUGAGAGGAUGAUCAGCCACACUGGGACUGAGACACGGCCCAGACUCCUACGGGAGGCAGCAGUGGGGAAUUUUGGACAAUGGGCGAAAGCCUGAUCCAGCCAUUCCGCGUGAGUGAAGAAGGCCUUCGGGUUGUAAAGCUCUUUCGGCAGGAACGAAACGGCGGAUAUUAAUACUAUCCGUUACUGACGGUACCUGAAGAAGAAGCACCGGCUAACUACGUGCCAGCAGCCGCGGUAAUAC